rnacentral:rRNA from 1 species
GUGGGGAAUAUUGCACAAUGGGGGAAACCCUGAUGCAGCCAUGCCGCGUGUGUGAAGAAGGCCUUCGGGUUGUAAAGCACUUUCAGUAGGGAGGAAAGGGUGAGUCUUAAUACGGCUCAUCUGUGACGUUACCUACAGAAGAAGGACCGGCUAACUCCGUGCCAGCAGCCGCGGUAAUACGGAGGGUCCGAGCGUUAAUCGGAAUUACUUGGCGUAAAGCGUGCGCAGGCGGUUUGUUAAGCGAGAUGUGAAAGCCCUGGGCUCAACCUAGGAAUAGCAUUUCGAACUGGCGAACUAGAGUCUUGUAGAGGGGGGUAGAAUUCCAGGUGUAGCGGUGAAAUGCGUAGAGAUCUGGAGGAAUACCGGUGGCGAAGGCGGCCCCCUGGACAAAGACUGACGCUCAUGCACGAAAGCGUGGGGAGCAAACAGGAUUAGAAACCCCUGUAGUCC